AUCUGCCUCUUUAAACCUUGAAUGCACCUGAUCCGGAUAAUGCCGGCGGAGGGAAGAGGUUAAAUUUACAA
rnacentral:ncRNA from 1 species